ACAACAAAAGGAGGAACGUGUUGUGUUGUGAACAGCGUAUGACUUGUUUCAUUUGAUAGCAGAAGAAAAGUUCCUCGACACCGCCCAUGGAAAACAUUCCUGAAAUUGGAGAUUGCCGCCGGUGGUGAUGUUCAAUGAUAGGGAGAGACGGAAAGGCAUGGAGCUCCCUGCGCAUUUGAGCCGAAACGACUGGGGUCUUCUCUCAAGCGGUGAAUUCACCGGGCCCCAAUAAAUGGCUUGUUACAUUUGCCCUUCCUAACUUGUCGUCUUUGAGUGAAGAUUUUUUUCUAUCAGUAUUUGGAUGAUGGAAUUUGAGUACACUGUUCUUAGGAAAGAGGCAGACAUGCAUAAUAGAUGUUGUGGAGGCCUUGUUUGGUGCAUCAAGGAUAUAUGUGGGAUUAUGUGUGCUGCCCUAACAUGGCUACUAAUCUUGUAUGCCGAGUUUGUGGUCAUGGUCGUCAUGUUAAUCCCCAGUCCUUAUCCAGUGUAUAGCACAAUUAAUGGCGUUGUUUUUCAAUCACUUGCAUUUCUUGCAUUUGCAUCACAUCUUCGCACAAUGUUUACAGAUCCAGGCGCUGUUCCCAAAGGAAAUGCUACAAAAGAGAUGAUACAGCAAAUGGGUUUCAGAGAGGGUCAAAUGUUUUUCAAAUGCCACAAGUGCUGCAGUAUCAAACCUGAGAGAGCUCACCAUUGUUCUGUAUGCCAGAGGUGCAUUCGUAAAAUGGACCAUCACUGCCCCUGGGUCAAUAAUUGUGUUGGUGAAAAUAACCAGAAGUAUUUUGUCCUCUUCACUUUUUACAUUGCUUCAAUUUCAAUCCAUGCUCUCUUCCUGUCGGUGAAUCAAACUAUCACCUGUGUUAAACAUGAGUGGAAGGAUUGUUCUGUUUACUCUCCACCAGCAACUGUAGUUCUCUUGCUCUUCCUUGUAUUUGAGGCCCUACUCUUUGCAAUCUUUACCGUCAUAAUGUUGGCGGCCCAAAUGCAGGCUAUUUGGAAUGAUGAAACGGGCAUUGAACAACUGAAAAAGGAAGAAGCACGGUGGGUGAAAAAAUCCCGUUGGAAGAGUAUUCAAGCUGUUUUCGGACGGUUUUCAAUUUCAUGGUUCUCCCCAUUCACUACUCCUCUUCCUCGAAUGAAGCAUGAAGGGUUUCUUUACUCCGUGUAACACCAUUGAUCUUACUUCCAAGACAAAUUAAAGUCAUGAUCAUUUUCCCUCCUGCCUAUUAGGAGAGUCAUUUACGCACAAAAUACAGCUAUCUGUAAACUCCUUGUCUCUUUCAUAAAACACCCCAGAACAAACUCAUAACUUUUACUAUUGUCUUUCAGAUGCCAUGACUGAAUCAUCUUUUUCUUUUUUAAAGUGUGACUGACUUGUUAUGUCAUUUUCUUGUACGCAAUAUGUUCAACCCUUUUGUUUAAUAUUUUCCUUUUGGAGCAUUUUUCAUUAAGGAAAUUUAUGAUGCCAGGUAAAAUAAACUGGGUAAGAUUAUUACUCAUGUUUUGUUGGCCUUGGAUAUUUUACUUAAAAAAGUUGACACUGUCCAUUUUAAGCAGUAUGUUGCUGUUAGAUUACCUGAAUUUAAUUUUAUCAAAUGUUAUAACUUGAAUGGGUGGUAUGAGUAUAGUACUGUGCAGGAGCAGUAUUACUGUACUUCAAGGUUUAGUAGAUCAUGCCAUUUUAUAAAUAUUGAAAGGUCUUUUUCUUUUCUAAUAUACUGUUUGUGUUCUUGUUUAUUCUGUGAAGAACAGGAAUAGGUGAUGGAGUUUUAAUAAAAUUUCUCUUCCCAAAUCAUGAGGUAUUCAUUAAGUAUUUGAGUGUUAAGUUUAAAUAUUUUGUCUAAGGAUAAUUGUAUUCCUUUGUCAAUAAUUGUUAGAUAUUUUAAGUUAAUUUUAUUAUGAGAAUGUGUGCAUCAAAUGACUGUAAAUCUAAGGAAUAUAUCUAGUCCAUGUGUGCUGAAUGUACUUGUGUGCACAUUUGUGCACAGUGCAGUGUUGCAUUUGCAGAAUGCAAAAUAUGAAACCUUUUUUGAAACACAAAUUAACUGUUGAUAGUACCUCUACAGUGCUGCAUACAAAGCUAAGACUUGUGAAACGUACCUUGAUUAUGGACAUUUUUGUACAGUCACAUAGUGAUUCUCCUGAUGACUUUUUAGUUUAAAUCUUGCUUUGGUGGUGGCAAUAGUGUGCGUCUGCACUUGGUUAUUUGCGACAUACAGUUGUAGUUCAUGCGAUGCAUAAUAAUUUUUAUUUACUAAGUAUUUAAUGUGAGAAAAGGUCAGUAUUUAUUAGGCUGCACGCCUCCCAAAUGCCAUCAAGGCUCUUCAUGUAGUCUGUUGUGUAUCUUGCUUUGCCAAGUUUAAGGUGACAAGUUGUAAGUAAUGUAACAUUAUGUUCAACAGUCACUUCAUGAGGGUUUUCUAUUCUUUUCAAAAUUAUGAAUGAAAUUUGUUUGAACCAUAAUUUUGUUUGCUGUUUUCUUCUGUAACUGUCAAUUCAUGUGUAUUGUCUGAAAAUCUAUGUGCUUUUCUAGGAUCACCUGCUGUUAAGGAAGAUUUUAUCAGUGGCACUUAUAGAAAUUGAUGAUUGUUACCCCUGUAGCUUUCUCUCUUAUGAAACAGUUGUUCCAGCAUUCAAUGUUUGUGGCUGUUACAUUCCUAAGAAAUGUACCUGAAUCCUUGUCUGCCCACAUUUCCUGCUUGAAUUAGAUUUAUUAAAUUUAAAUGAAAAUAAAAUUAUAGAAACCUU
rnacentral:misc_RNA from 1 species